UGGAAAAGGUGUUCAGCCCCUCAUCUCCGGCAACACAGAAAGGCGAAUUCUACUUAGUAAGGGUUAUAAUCACUAAGUGCGGCCGCAGGCCGCCUACACAGAAAGAAGUUC